AUUGAACGCUGGCGGCAUGCUUUACACAUGCAAGUCGAACGGCAGCGGAGAGUGCUUGCACUCUGCCGGCGAGUGGCGAACGGGUGAGUAACAUAUUGGAACGUACCGAGUAAAGGGGGAUAACUAUCCGAAAGGAUAGCUAAUACCGCAUACGCUUUGAGAAGGAAAGUGGGGGAUCUUCGGACCUCACGUUAUUCGAGCGGCCAAUAUCUGAUUAGCUAGUUGGUGGGGUAAAGGCCUACCAAGGCGACGAUCAGUAGCGGGUCUGAGAGGACGAUCCGCCACACUGGGACUGAGACACGGCCCAGACUCCUACGGGAGGCAGCAGUGGGGAAUUUUGGACAAUGGGCGCAAGCCUGAUCCAGCCAUGCCGCGUGUCUGAAGAAGGCCUUCGGGUUGUAAAGGACUUUUGUUAGGGAAGAAAAGAAAUGGGUUAAUACCCCAUUUUGCUGACGGUACCUAAAGAAUAAGCACCGGCUAACUACGUG
rnacentral:rRNA from 1 species